AUCAUUGCGGGAUCAAUUGGUUCCCUGGGGGCGAGGCGCUUUCGGGGAGUAAAUGGGAACGUGACGGGUGGACCCAUUCUGGGCACCUUCAUCACGGCCGACCCCGCGACUGUAGAGCGGUCAGAGUUUGUCAUGCCGGUUUGUUCAGCCGGUAAAAGCCACUAGGGCGACGGGUUUUUCAAGCCCUGCCCCGGGAAGGUGAGACAGGCUCCUUGGCGCGAAAGCGCCUGACGCCGCGAGCCAGGAAACCUGCCGGUUGAUGAAGGGCAUG
rnacentral:ncRNA from 2 species